rnacentral:rRNA from 1 species
UACGUAGGGUCCGAGCGUUGUCCGGAAUUACUGGGCGUAAAGAGCUCGUAGGUGGUUUGUCGCGUUGUUCGUGAAAACUCACAGCUUAACUGUGGGCGUGCGGGCGAUACGGGCAGACUUGAGUACUGCAGGGGAGACUGGAAUUCCUGGUGUAGCGGUGGAAUGCGCAGAUAUCAGGAGGAACACCUAUAGCGAAGGCAGCUCGCUGGGACGACACUGACGCUGAGACGCGAAAGCGUGGGGAGCGAACAGG